GUUAGGAAUAUUGGACAAUGGGCGAAAGCCUGAUCCAGCCAUGCCGCGUGAACGAUGAAGGCCUUCGGGUUGUAAAGUUCUUUAGCCGAUGAUUAUAAUGACUGUAGUCGGAAAAUAAGCCCCGGCUAACUUCGUGCCAGCAGCCGCGGUAAUACGAAGGGGGCGAGCGUUAUUCGGAAUCACUGGGCGUAAAGCGUGCGUAGGCGGUUUUGUAAGUUAGGAGUGAAAGCCCAGGGCUCAACCUUGGAAUUGCUCUUAAAACUGCAAGGCUCGAAGCUCGGGGAGGAUAGCGGAAUUUCCAGUGUAGCAGUGAAAUGCGUAGAUAUUGGAAGGAACACCAGUGGCGUAAGCGGCUAUCUGGACGAGUAUUGACGCUGAGGCACGAAAGCGUGGGGAUCAAACAGGAUUAGAAACCCGGGUAGUCC
rnacentral:rRNA from 1 species